CCUACGGGAGGCAGCAGUGGGGAAUUUUGGACAAUGGGCGAAAGCCUGAUCCAGCAAUGCCGCGUGUGGGAAGAAGGCCUUCGGGUUGUAAACCACUUUUGUACGGAACGAAACGGCUCGCUUUAAUACAGUGGGCUAAUGACGGUACCGUAAGAAUAAGCACCGGCUAACUACGUGCCAGCAGCCGCGGUAAUACGUAGGGUGCGAGCGUUAAUCGGAAUUACUGGGCGUAAAGCGUGCGCAGGCGGUUAUAUAAGACAGUUGUGAAAUCCCCGGGCUCAACCUGGGAAUUGCAUCUGUGACUGUAUAGCUAGAGUACGGUAGAGGGGGAUGGAAUUCCGCGUGUAGCAGUGAAAUGCGUAGAUAUGCGGAGGAACACCGAUGGCGAAGGCAAUCCCCUGGACCUGUACUGACGCUCAUGCACGAAAGCGUGGGGAGCAAACAGGAUUAGAUACCCUGGUAGUCCACGCCCUAAACGAUGUCAACUGGUUGUUGGGUGNAUAGUACUCAGUAACGAAGACACGACGUGAGUAGACGCCGUGGAGGACGGCGCGAAGGUAGUAACGUUACAAUAGAAGUUAGUAGGCGNGAGAGNGCGACGGACGACGACGAGGGAGGAGG
rnacentral:rRNA from 1 species